rnacentral:rRNA from 1 species
GGAGUUAGCCGGUGCUUCUUCUGUGAGUGAUGUCCUUCCUGCCGGUUAUUGACCCGCAGGCCUUCUUCCUCACUGAAAGUGCUUUACAACCCGAAGGCCUUCUUCACACACGCGGCAUGGCUGGAUCAGGGUUGCCCCCAUUGUCCAAUAUUCCCCACUGCUGCCUCCCGUAGGAGUCUGGGCCGUGUCUCAGUCCCAGUGUGGCUGAUCAUCCUCUCAGACCAGCUACGGAUCGUCGCCUUGGUGAGCCGUUACCUCACCAACCAGCUAAAUCCGACAUAGGCUCAUCCGAUAGCGCGAGGCCCGAAGGUCCCCCGCUUUCCCCCGUAGGGCGUAUGCGGUAUUAGCCUGGGUUUCCCCAGGUUAUCCCCCACUACCGGGCAGAUUCCUAUGCAUUACUCACCCGUCCGCCGCUCGCCACCAGGGAGCAAGCUCCCCGUGCUGCCGCUCGACUUGCAUGUGUUAGGCCUGCCGCCAGCGUUCAAUCUGAGCCAGAAUCAAACUCUGA